rnacentral:rRNA from 1 species
UGCAGUCGACGCUUUGUCUUUAAUUGAUCUGACGAGCUUGCUCUGAUUUGAUUUUAUCUGACAAAGAGUGGCGAACGGGUGAGUAACACGUGGGUAACCUACCUCUUAGCAGGGGAUAACAUUUGGAAACAAGUGCUAAUACCGUAUAAUACCAACAACCGCAUGGUUGUUGGUUGAAAGAUGGUUCUGCUAUCACUAAGAGAUGGACCCGCGGUGCAUUAGCUAGUUGGUAAGGUAACGGCUUACCAAGGCAAUGAUGCAUAGCCGAGUUGAGAGACUGAUCGGCCACAAUGGGACUGAGACACGGCCCAUACUCCUACGGGAGGCAGCAGUAGGGAAUCUUCCACAAUGGGCGCAAGCCUGAUGGAGCAACGCCGCGUGUGUGAUGAAGGGUUUCGGCUCGUAAAACACUGUUAUAAGAGAAGAACGGCACUGAGAGUAACUGUUCAGUGUGUGACGGUAUCUUACCAGAAAGGAACGGCUAAAUACGUGCCAGCAGCCGCGGUAAUACGUAUGUUCCAAGCGUUAUCCGGAUUUAUUGGGCGUAAAGCGAGCGCAGACGGUUAUUUAAGUCUGAAGUGAAAGCCCUCAGCUCAACUGAGGAAUGGCUUUGGAAACUGGAUGACUUGAGUGCAGUAGAGGAAAGUGGAACUCCAUGUGUAGCGGUGAAAUGCGUAGAUAUAUGGAAGAACACCAGUGGCGAACGCGGCUUUCUGGACUGUAACUGACGUUGAGGCUCGAAAGUGUGGGUAGCAACAGAUUAGAUACCCUGGUAGUCCACACGUAACGAUGAGUGCUAGAUGUUCGAGGGUUUCGCCCUGGAUGUCGCAGCUACGCAUAGCACUCCGCCUGGGGAGUACGACCGCAAGGUUGAAACUCAAAGGAAUU